AUCGAACGCUGGCGGCAGGCUUAACACAUGCUAGUCGAGCGAGCGGCGGACGGGAGAGUAAUGUAUGGGGACUGCCCGAUAGAGGGGGAGAACUACUGGAAACGGUAGCUAAUACCGCAUACUAUCGGAUAACCCAUAUGGGAGUGGCUAGUAGGUGAGGUAAUGGCUCACCUAGGCGACGAUCCCUAGCUGGUCUGAGAGGAUGAUCAGCGGCACGGAGACUGGGACACGACCAAGACUCCUACGGAGGCACAAGAGGGGGAUGUUGAACAAUGGGCGCGAAGCUGGUACAACCGUGCAACGUGUGUGAAAAAGGCGCUGGGGUUGUAAGGUACUUUCAGUCGGGAGGCGUUACCGGCAGAAGAAGCACCGGCUAACUCCGUGCCAGCCGCCGCGGUAAUAC
rnacentral:rRNA from 1 species